GUGCCAGCAGCGCGGUAAUACAGAGGGUGCGAGCGUUAAUCGGAUUUACUGGGCGUAAAGCGUGCGUAGGCGGCUUUUUAAGUCGGAUGUGAAAUCCCUGAGCUUAACUGAAGAACUGCAUCUGAAACUUCAUAACUCGAGUACAGGAGAGGGAAACGGAAUUCCCGGUGUAGAGGUGAAAUUCGUAGAGAUCGGGAGGAAUACCAGUGGCGAAGGCGCCCUUCUGGACGGUUACUGACGCUGAGACGCGAAAGCGUGGGGAGCAAACAGG
rnacentral:rRNA from 1 species